GGACUACUAGGGUUUCUAAUCCCGUUUGCUCCCCACGCUUUCGUGCCUUAGUGUCAGAAACGAGCCAGUAAUCUGCUUACGCCAUCGGUGUUCCUCCCAAUAUCUACGGAUUUCACUCCUACACUGGGAAUUCCAAUUACCUCUCUCGUCCUCAAGCUGAGCAGUUCAGAACAUGGAUGUAUGGUUGAGCCACACGAUUUCAUGCCCUGCUUACUCUGCCACCUACGCAACUCUUUACGCCCAGUAAUUCCGGAUAACGCUUGGAUCCUCCGUAUUACCGCGGCUGCUGGCAC
rnacentral:rRNA from 1 species